rnacentral:sRNA from 1 species
CCCCCAGAACCAGGUCAACAGGAAGUCAGGUAGGCUGGGCGCUGGUAUAGCUUCCUCUAGGGUGUUCUCUUUGGGGUUACUCUUCUUCUCCCCAUCAGUGUCGGAGCUCCCUGCCUUACCUCUCUGUGGAAAAAAUUUGACCCACAUUGUAGCCACCACAACUUGGACCCCUAGGGUCUGGGUGGCCUGGACUCUUCCCCUCUGGGAGGGUGGCGGCUUGGAUGCUACCUGCUCUGCGGGGCAGGGGAGGGGCAGUCGGGCCAGACUUGUGUCCAGCCACCGGAACCCCUCUGUGCGUAUGGCCAGUGCCUCUGGCCUGAGUUGACGGAGCUCUUCCUGUGGCCAGACAUCUACGUGUGCAUGAUCUCCUAUGCACACAACGUGGCGGCCCAGGGCAAGUACAUAGCUAUUGCCAGCACUACUGUGGAGACCACGGACCCUGAAAAGGAGGUGGAGCCAGCUCUGGAGCUGUUGGAGCCCAUUGACCAGAAGUUUGUGGCUAUCAGUGACUUGUAUGAGCCUAUUGAUGAUGGUUGUGAGAGCCAGGUGUUCUGUUCCUGCUCCUACGAUGCCACCACACACUUUGAGACAACCUGCAACGACAUCAAAGACAUCUACAAACGCAUGGCUGGCACGGCCUUUGACUUUGAGAACAUGAAGCGCAAACAGAACGACGUUUUUGGAGAAGCUGAGCAGUGAUUGUGGCCGCCCCCAGCCCCUGCUGCCCCAGCCUGUGUCUGUUCUCGAGGGCU